rnacentral:rRNA from 1 species
GAUGAACGCUGGCGGCGUGCCUAAUACAUGCAAGUCGAGCGAACGGACGAGAAGCUUGCUUCUCUGAUGUUAGCGGCGGACGGGUGAGUAACACGUGGAUAACCUACCUAUAAGACUGGGAUAACUUCGGGAAACCGGAGCUAAUACCGGAUAAUAUUUUGAACCGCAUGGUUCAAAAGUGAAAGACGGUCUUGCUGUCACUUAUAGAUGGAUCCGCGCUGCAUUAGCUAGUUGGUAAGGUAACGGCUUACCAAGGCAACGAUGCAUAGCCGACCUGAGAGGGUGAUAGGCCACACUGGAACUGAGACACGGUCCAGACUCCUACGGGAGGCAGCAGUAGGGAAUCUUCCGCAAAGGGCGAAAGCCUGACGGAGCAACGCCGCGUGAGUGAUGAAGGUCUUCGGAUCGUAAAACUCUGUUAUUAGGGAAGAACAUAUGUGUAAGUAACUGUGCACAUCUUGACGGUACCUAAUCAGAAAGCCACGGCUAACUACGUG